rnacentral:rRNA from 1 species
UACGAGGGGGGCAACUGUUGUUCGGAAUCACUGGGCGUAAAGGGAGCGUAGGCGGGCUUCUAAGUUAGGUGUUUAAUCCCGGGGCCCAACCCCGGUCAGGCACCUAAAACUGGGAGUCUUGAAUAGUGGAGAGGUCAGUGGAAUUGGGGGUGUAGCGGUGGAAUGCGUAGAGAUCCCCAAGAACACCAGUUGCGAAGGCGGCUGACUGGACACAUAUUGACGCUGAGGCUCGAAAGCAUGGGGAGCAAACAGG